rnacentral:tRNA from 1 species
GGCUUAAUAGUCAAAAAUGAUUUUAAAUUGCAAAUUUAAAGGUAAAGUUUCUUUUUAAGCUU